CGCGUAGGCGGUCUCUUAAGUCAGAUGUGAAAGCCCGGGGCUUAACCUCGGAAGUGCAUUCGAAACUAAGGGAUUUGAGUAUGGGAGAGGGAAGUGGAAUUCCUGGUGUAGCGGUGAAAUGCGUAGAUAUCAGGAGGAACACCGGUGGCGAAGGCGACUUCCUGGACCAAUACUGACGCUGAGGCGCGAAGGCGUGGGGAGCAAACAGGAUUAGAUACCCUGGUAGUCC
rnacentral:rRNA from 1 species